rnacentral:rRNA from 1 species
AGCUCCAAUAGCGUAUAUUAAAGUUGUUGCAGUUAAAAAGCUCGUAGUCGAACUUUUGAUGAGGCUAUUUGGUCAGUCUCUUAGACUGUACUAAGUAGUUGAUUCUUUUUCCUAGGAAACUACCUUUCGGUAGGAGUCUAGGUGUUUACUUUGAAGAAAUUAGAGUGUUUAAGGCAAGCUUGUGCUUGAAUACAUUAGCAUGGAAUAAUAGAAUAGGACUUUGGUUUUAUUUUGUUGGUUUUAAGAACCAAAGUAAUGAUUAAUAGGGACAAUUGGGGACAUUAGUAUUCAGAAGUCAGAGGUGAAAUUCUUGGAUUUUCUGAAGACUAACUACUGCGAAAGCAUUUGUCAAGGAUGUUUUCAUUG